AUUUACCUCUGCUUGGCAUCUAUAAGAGUCGAAACAAUUGAACUACGUUUAAAAUUACAAACAACACUUUAACGCGAUAAAUAUAAUUAUCUGUGAUGAAAGUCUUAAGUAUGGACCAUCGCCCUGGCUUUUCACCUGAAUUCCUAGCCUCCCGAAGGAAUAGGACACUUCACACUUUGAAGAUGCACUUGGGAGCGAUUUAUGAUGCGUGAGUAAACACAGCGUUAUUAGUGACCCAAUCUACAGCUACUAACCGUACCGUUAUCUGCAGACAACUGAGAAAGCCUUGGAUUCAGACAACUGAUAUUAUAGUAUUUGUUCUAAUUGCUUACGCAACCUGGACGUUUUAUUUCAUAAUCAAUUUCUAUUAUAAAACAUGGCAUUUUUGAUAAUAAUUUUGGUCUGUGAAUAAAAAGCAGCACUC
rnacentral:sRNA from 1 species